CCCUGGAUAGCUCAGUCGGUAGAGCAUCAGAUUUUUAAUCUGAGGGUCCAGGGUUCAAGUCCCUCUGGGCG
rnacentral:tRNA from 1 species